rfam:Lentisphaera araneosa HTCC2155 1101329224563, whole genome shotgun sequence.
GCUCGGGUGGCGGAAUUGGCAGACGCGCACGGUUGAGGGCCGUGUGGAGAAAUCCGUGUGGGUUCGACUCCCACUCCGAGUA